GCAGGGUUGGCCACCUUGAGAAGCUGCGAAGAUGGCGGAGUAAGGCGUGCCGCUGCAAACUGGCCUCUGGGCCGGGGGCGAGCAGCCCCCGGGAGGCCGAGUGCAUCUGUUGGACCGUGCGAGGAGAAGAAAAAAAAUAUCGGCCAGAGGAGAGGAACUAACCGAACAUUCUUCCUCCCUACCUUAUAGAGGGGAGUGGUCAUCUACACUAAAGCAAAGUGUUAGGCGCGUCCGUGCGAAGAGACCACCAAACAGGCUUUGUGUUCCUUAUCACAGGAAGAAAAUUUUCCUUGACCUUUAGGUGCUUUUAUAUUCAUCUCAAAAACAAAAUUCUGAACUCAGGACUUGGCAAACGGAGUCACGUUCUGUUGCCUGGGCUGGAGUGCACUGAUGCAAUCUUGGCUCACUGAAAUCUCUGCCUCCCAGGUUCAAGCGAUUCUCCUGCCUCGGCUUCCUGAGUAGCUGGGACUACAGGCACCCGUUACCACGCCCAGCUAAUUUUUGUAUCUUUAGUAGAGACGGGGUUUCACCAUGUUGGCCAGGCUGGUCUUGAACUCCGGACCUGGUGAUCCACCCACUUCGGCUUCCCGAAGUGCUGGGUUUACAGAUGUGUCUCUAUGUUGUCUCCUAGAGUGGGUAGUCCUGCUUCUUUUACCCAGUUACUUUCCCGUUUUUGAAAUGUGGCUAUCACUUCUCUACACAUUACCUCCAUGAUUUGGAAUGGAAAAGGCCACUUUUCUUUUUGUUCUGCCUCUCAAAUUCAACACAGAGGAGCUCCUAGGAUUCCAGUUAUCCUGCUAACAUCUCCAGGAAGAAAGAAGCAACUCACAUGGGUCUUUUGCUGUUUGCUUAAUUAUAAAGACAUCAUUUUGCAAGCAGAAGGCUGAGUUUCAUUUGAAACAGGUGCUUAGGUGGUGGUAUUUGUGAAUACUUUUCAUUCCAAGCAAGAAGACUAAAGAAGUAGCAAGUAUGAAUGACUUCAGGGUUUAAAAAAAAUGUCUUCCAGUUUCAGCCACUACCAUGAUAAGCACAGUUGAGACUGCAGCAGUAAAUUCCAAAUAUGUGUUUCUAAUUUGACGUGAAAGAUACUAAAAAUUUAUAUUUGUAUAUUUAAAUCCUGGCUCAUCCUGUGACAUAGAUUUACUGAAUAGGAACAAAGGCCCAAUUUUAAACAAAAACCUAGGCCGGGUGUGGUGGCUCACACCUGUAAUCCCAACACUUUGGGAGGCCAAGGCAGGCAAAUCACCUGAGGUUGGGAGUUUGAGACCAGCCUGACCAACAUGGAGAAACCCCAUCUCUACUAAAAAUAGAAAAUUAGCCAGGUGUGGUGGUAGAUACGUGUAAUCCCAGCUACUCGUGAGGCUGAGGCAGGAGAAUUGCUUGAAUCCGGGAGGCGGAGGUUGCAGUGAACUGAGAUUGCACCACUGCACUCCAGCCUGGGCGACAGAGUGAGACUCCGUCUCAGAAAAAUAAAAAACAACUUUGGACAUAGAGGAGUUGGGGGCAGAGGGGGGAGGAUGAGAGAAUUUUCCAUGUAACUCCUUUUCCUUAAGAAAAAGAAGCAAAAAUCCCUCAUGCAGUGCCAUCUGACUUUAUGGUGUUUCACAUUAUAUAGUUACUUUUUUUAAUAAACGCAUAAGAUUAACUCUUCCUGCAACCCAAGGUGGAUACUUGGAUGUUUGAUUUUUAUUUAUUUAUUUAUUUAUUUUUUGAGGCAGUCUCUCUCUGUUGCCCAGGCUGGAGUGAUGCGUGAUUUCUGCUCACUGCAGUCUCUCCCACCCGGGUUCAAGCGAUUCUCCUGCCUCAGCCUCCCAAGUAGCUAGGAUUACAGGCGCGCACCACCACGCUCAGCCUGAUUUCUAGGCUGAAAAGGCUGGGACUCAGGUACUUUCCCCAGUUGGGACUGAACUUUCUCAUCAGAGAAUGGGCCUCAGAAGCAAUGUUCCCAAACUUGUGGUUGGGUCAUCGUGGAAAAGAAACCUCAAAUAAGAAAAAUAAUUACAAUAAGAAAUGGAUUUUCUUUUUUCCCACAACAGUUAUACAUUAUAAAGAACAGACUGUCGUAGAAAACUGUCUUUGCUUCCAAAUCAGCAGAGGACCAUUGUAUGUAUUGUCAGGUCUUUAUAUAAGAGUGAAACCUUUAUUUAUGCUUCUUGUGAGUAGAGAAUAAAUUUUAAAACUAAUUAGAUGAAAUUAAGAACAGAGUAUUGGAACAUCUCUGUGUUUUCCGGAAUGUUUACUCAGGUCCAUGAAUGCUGUGAUGCUGGGAACUUAGGGAAGAUUCACCAAAAUUUGAGAGUGAUAAAAAUGGCCUAAAAUGGGAAAUGGUGAGCACUCUUAUUAUUAGUGAGAUUGGUCAAUCAGCCCAUUUGAAAUGGGUAAAAAAUACUUUCAGUAAAAUAAUUACAUAUUAUAUAUAAAAUAUUUCUUUUUUUGAGGGCAGCUACUGAGUGAUAAAAGCAUAGUAGAAAUCACUUUGGUUAAAAGUAACUCAAAUUUUUCUCUUAAGUAAUCUACCAACUUCCUGAUGUUUUUCUUUAAUAUUUUGGAACUGUUCAAGACAGAAUGGAGCCUACAUAUAUGGUGUUCCACUAGUAUGUUGAAAAUGUCAUAUCAUGGAGAAUGGAGACACCUUCCAGGUGUCUGUUAAACCCAUCUUCUCUGUGUACUUCUGGCAUCUUUUUUGGUAGGAUCAUUUGGCAGGGGGUAGAGUACCUGUACUUUUGGCACCAUUGAAACCAGCUCUGGCCCACUUGUUUGAAUAGCUAUCAGACUCAGCGUCUCUAUAUGCUUUAUAUACAGUUGAGAGAACCAGUGUUUAAUGCUCUUGAAAUUGUAUCUUCCAUGCUUCAGACCAGAUGCAUUUAACAAAAUGGAUAUAUUCCAGCUGUAGUUGCCCAGUGUUUACUUAACACAUCUACAUUUUUUUCUUGUCUAUUUUGGUCCCCUUGAUAGGAAAAGCUAUAAUUUUAGGCAGGACUAUACGUCGAUUUGUAGCCAUGCUUCCUUCCUUUCCCUUGCUCAUCCAUGUUAGCUGGCAGUUUUUCUUUUGAAAAGUUAAAACCGGGAUAUGUGCAAUAGAAAUAUAUAUAUAUAUAUGUAUAUUUUAAUACUUGUGGACAAAUGUUACAAGUUGUUUAAGAACAACAAAAUCACCAAUGUCUUCCAUUUUGAGAUGUGUAUAGUUUUGUAAGCAUUAGUGCUUGGUAGCAUAUUGUAGUGCCAUGUUAGGGGUUAGUGCAUGAGUCUAGUGAUUUUAAACUUCAGGAUGAAUUAUUGAUAAUAACAAAUAGUGUAAAAAGAGUGGAAAAUCUAAACCUUUUCUUUUUCCAUAAUGUCUAAAUCUGUUAUAUUCUUCCUGGGGAAAAGAGAUUAAGGCCCAAAAGACUCAUUUAUGAAUAGAAAUGUGGGGUCAAAAUCUGAGAUACUAUAUUUGAGGACAUUUCAGCUUUCCAUAAGGUAUCUGGAAACCAGCUGUCUUUGUGUCUUAUGAAACCUCAAGUCAAAAUGAGACCGCAUUUAAUUAUUCUGCUUUGCUCUUUUUUUGGGGUGGGGGGGAGAUAGAGUUUCACUCUGUCACCCAGGCUGGAGUGCAGUGGCACAAUCUUUGCUCACUGUAACCUCUGCCUCUUGGGUUCAAGUGAUUCUCGUGCCCCAGCCUCCCGAGUAGCUGGGACUACAGGCACGUGCCACCACGCCCAGCUAAUUUUUAUAUUUUUAGUAGAGACGGGGUUUUGCUGUGUUGGCCAGGCUGGUCUCAAACUCCUGACCUCAAGUAAUCCACCUGGCCUGCUCUUUUCAUGUCUUAACAUGGCAUGUCUUUUAGUUUCAUUAUUUUCCUACUCCUUGUAUGUCAAGAAAUUACAUUUUGCAUGUCUUAUGGAGAUGCUGUUAAUUGCUUCAGUGAGUGCUUUUCUAAUCUGCAGACCAUUUACAUUUCCUGUUUGCAGCAUGCUGUGUGCAAACACUCAGUAAUUUGGAGUAUUCAAUUAUUUGUUAGGGCUCUUCCUAUUUCCAAAUGUGCUGAAUUGUCUAUUGAUGGGAUUUUCAGAUCUUUUCAUGAGAACUGGAAAUGUAGCUGGGUGGCACCUACCUAGGUUGCUACGUAGUGAGUAGACUUUCUCUUGGGUAUAGUAAGCCUCAGACAGCUUUCACUUUUAUCUACUUUACUUGUGGAAAUAAAACAGUCAUUUUGUUCUGAAAGAAUAAGAUAGCUUUCUGUAGAGAAGGAAUUCCUACCUCUAAAAGCUGCCUUGAGAACUCAGAACUGGCAGUUUUCUGAGGUGAUUUUUAAAUUUCAGUAUUAGGGAGAGUCCAGCAUUUGCUGACACAGAUUCUACAUAACUAAUGUAUGAUAGCAAAUGCAAAACUAUUAUAAUGUGGUGUAUCUUGCGCAUACACAGGUUAGAACAAGUAGACUCUGGCAGCAGAUCUCCAGAGACCCAAGUUUAGGUUCUCAUAGUGUAUUUGAAGUAGUUAUACUCCUGGCUUAAGUAGUUUAGUGCCU
ensembl:lncRNA OIP5-AS1 OIP5 antisense RNA 1